UCCUGGCUGGCUCAGUCAGUAUAGCAUGUGACUCUUGAUCUUGGGGUCAUGGGUUCAAGCCCCAUGUUGGGCG
rnacentral:tRNA from 1 species